rnacentral:rRNA from 1 species
UACGUAGGCAGCGAGCGUUGUUCGGAAUUAUUGGGCGUAAAGAGUGUGUAGGCGGUGUUCUAAGUCUGUCGUGAAAUCUCCCGGCUUAACUGGGAGGGUGCGGCGGAAACUGGAAUGCUAGAGGGUGGGAGAGGUAAGCGGAAUUCCUGGUGUAGCGGUGAAAUGCGCAGAUAUCAGGAGGAACACCUGUGGUGUAGACAGCUUACUGGACCACUUCUGACACUGAGGCACUAAAGCGUGGGUAGCAAACAGG